rnacentral:rRNA from 1 species
CUUAGUGGCGAACGGGUGAGUAACGCGUGAGUAACCUGCCCUGGAGUGGGGGACAACAGUUGGAAACGACUGCUAAUACCGCAUAAGCCCACGGAUCCGCAUGGAUCUGCGGGAAAAGGAUUUAUUCGCUUCAGGAUGGACUCGCGUCCAAUUAGCUAGUUGGUGAGGUAACGGCCCACCAAGGCGACGAUUGGUAGCCGGACUGAGAGGUUGAACGGCCACAUUGGGACUGAGACACGGCCCAGACUCC